AACACAUUGGCAUAUUUAUUUUUUCAAAAUUCGGCACUUGAUUUUUGAGCGACGCUAAGUCUAUGAAGCUCUAAUAUAAGCCCACCGUGCGCCGCGCACCAGAACAGCGGCGACUCGCUCGGCGGCUGGGAGGACGGCGAGUUCGAGCCUAUCGAGGAGAACGUGGACGAGAACAACGCGUCUAAAAUGGACGAGAUGCGGCGCAAGCGCGAAGAACGCAAGCUGCAACGGCAGCGUGAGAUGGAGGCGCGGCGCUCGGCGCGCGCGCAGGGGCCCAUGAAGCUUGGCAGUAAGCUGUCCGGGCCCGCGCCGCCCUUCUAGUGACGUCCACUAAUAACACCGAGGGCACAUGCCUCCAAGACGUGACAUCAAAGCAAAGGUGAAUGUACCUUUUUACCCGUGGUUCACUUUGUAUUAGUUCAGUUCUCAGAGGGGGUCAGUUUCCCAUAAAGCUUAGCAGCUAGCUGUCUGAAUCCGCGCCGCCCUUCUAGCGACUCCCACCCUGCCCCCUUAUGCCCCUGGGACAUACCAACGCAAAUGUGAACCUUUAAAAGUUGUACCUUUCACUCGUUACCUUUGUACCCGUCUCUGAGAGGGGCUAACAGGGCCCAUGAAGCUCGGUAGCAAGUUAUCAGGUGUCGCGCCGCCCUUCUAGUGACCCCUAUGCUACCGCUGCCCUGAGACCGAGACUCAUACCGCAAAGGUAAAUAUACCUUUUUACUCGUUGUUAUUUGUGCCCGGGUCUCUCUCACGAGGGGCUGACAUGGCCCAUAAAGCUCCUCAGUACGCUGUCACGGACAUGGAUACUCACACCUUGACUUUAUCGACCCUCGCACUGGCAGUUUUAGCCCGAUUUUUGUUCAGAGUGAUAUAACUAUGAUUUGUGACACUUACAUCUAACCACACAGGAACUGGUAGGCUAAAUAGCACAUUAUAAAACUAAUCGAGAAAAUUUCAUGCUAUUUGUUUUGUAUCGCCUGUCUGAUUUUUUCGAACAGUUUUAUUACAAAAUAACUUGUAAUGCUACAUACAUGUUUGAGACUUUACAUCUCACCAUUGGAUGAAAUUUUAACGAUUGUCUGUUCCAUAAGGGUUUAUUUCAUGCUUUUUUCGGUCUGUUGAAUGAAUGGCAAAUCAAACAGUUAGUUAACUGUCCAUUGAUGUAAGAUAAUUACAUCAGUACCUAUUAUUACUGUAUUUAUAAAGAGACCCUUACCAUGCUUAUAUGUACAUACCAAUGUGUAUAAAUAAAAAACUUGUGAAAUUGUGUCUUAAAUGCAGCGUAGGAGCGCAAUCUUCUCUCUUGGCUCCCAAAAAUGUGCAAUUCAGGAAUUGUUCUUUACAAAUUUUUUCUAACGUCUUCAUCAUUACAAAAGUAAAUUGUGGUCAUAAUAAAUAACUUCUUUUGUUUCUCGCAAUUAUGUGUUACAACUUUAUUAGUCAAUUGUUAUUAUUUUUGCGUUUUACGCGUGUAUAUAAAUUAUAUUAUUUAAAGCAUUUAUAAGUUUAAGGUGUGUUAUUUUAUGUCUUAUUUAUCUUAAAUCCUGUUUCUAAAUUACAUCGCUGUGAUUGCUGAACUAUUGGCCAAUUUUAGAAACUGGGGUUAUAGGGGUAGCUUUUAUAUUUUGCUAAUUAUUCUCCACUAAUAUAGACGAAAUUGUGAAUUUUAUACGUUUUGCGAUCACCAACAUGUUUGUCAAUCUAUUUAUGUAUUUACAAUAGUAAUAAACAGAAGUUAGCUACAUCGAUGACUUGUUUUUUAAUUGGUCGAUAUUAGGGAUCAAGUUUUGUAAACUAAGAUGCACCAAGUAUAGAACGCUCAAGUGAGACUAGACGCCAGUAAGGCUAUUAAAAAGAAUAUUUUCGAAUUGUACUUAGUGACGUCAAAAGAAUGACGAGAUGAUCGAAUCGCGGUGGUUUUUCCAUUGUUUUAUCGAAUAAUAGCACUGUUUAUAGACACGUGGGUCGUUUUCAGUGCUUCACGUUUCUGUAAACAGCAUAAAUGUAAUACAUCACAAUGUUUCCCUCUAGCUUGUAACUACGCAUAUGAUAAUCAAAUAUUUAAAUGUACAGAUAAAACAAAUUGCUUUUUCUUACGACGAAAUUAAUGGGAAUGUGUGCAAUCGGCAAAUGAGGGUGUCAAUUUGUUGUAAGUGCUUGUAUGUUGAAUUUGAUGGACGCGCUGUAACAUUCCAGCACCGAUACUUGACAUUGUAGAAAAAGAACACUCACCACUUUAAUAUUAUCUUCAGAUUGAAUAUCUUGAUUAUAUUAAUGCGAUAUCAAGUAUCGAGGACUGAUAGCUGUUAGUAUGAAUAGGUCGUGUAUUUUAUAUGUAUUAUUGCGUAUCAAUUUUAUAUGUAAUUUAAUGUCUAACCGCUAGACUGAAACGGUCUAUGAUUUUUUUACCCUAUAAUGUUAUAUUGGCUAGUUGAAUUUAAUUAUUUAUUAUUCAUUAAAAAUCUCUUGAAAUCAAUCGUGUUCUUAAUCGCCAUAUUUAAAUUCUAACAUCAAUGUGCCCAAAGCAACGAAACGGCUGCUCAUUAAAAUUAUUUACCGUACUGUACUCGAUACGCUUUAAAAACCAAUUAUGAUAAUUAACAUACCUAUAUUUUUUAAAUUCAUUAUGAUUAGCGAAGCGUUGGUUUAUUAUACCUACAAGCAAGUUCUAUUAUUACGUUAUUAGUUUACUGUGUAUUAAAACAGUAGCUUCAAUUCCGCUGCAUGUAUUAUAUUAUUGUAAGUUCCGUUCGUUUUAUUUUUUAAGUUAAAACAAUCACACAAGUUAUCAAACUUAAAUGGUAAAAUUAAGUUUUUGUGUAAUUUUAUUUAUUAAAAUUUGUUUUUUAAAUUAUCUGUUCAUGGCUUGUUGAAUGGAAAUGAGUGGGUAACAAAAUUACUUAUUCUGUCUGCUAUAAAAAUUUACACUUCUGUAAAUAAAAGUUUAAAAAAUACUUUUUAGUUUUAUUGAAAUGAAACCAGGUAACUAAGCAAAUACAUGUUUUAAUGCGGCAAUGAAAUGUAAAAAAAUAUGUUAGUUCAAUGACAAAAUUAAUCACAUAUACAAAAUAAACAAAUCAAGCAACAAAAAAAUGUUAUUAGCAAUACAAAAAUAAACUAUCAUCUAAUCAACACAUUAUGUGCUAGGACACCCAUAAUCAAUUUACAACCCCAUCAAAUAUGGCAGUCAAAU